rnacentral:rRNA from 1 species
UACGUAGGCAGCGAGCGUUGUUCGGAGUUACUGGGCGUAAAGCGUGCGUAGGCGGCGGUCCAUGUCUGGUGUGAAAUCUCCCGGCUUAACUGGGAGGGUGCGCCGGAAACGGGGCUGCUGGAGUGCGGGAGAGGUAAGCGGAAUUCCCGGUGUAGCGGUGAAAUGCGUAGAUAUCACUCGGAAGGCCAACGGCGAAGGCAGGUCACUGGUGCGCAACUGACGCUGAGGCACGAAAGCGUGGGGAGCAAACAGG